GAUGAACGCUGGCGGCGUGCCUAAUACAUGCAAGUCGAGCGAACGGACGAGAAGCUUGCUUCUCUGAUGUUAGCGGCGGACGGGUGAGUAACACGUGGAUAACCUACCUAUAAGACUGGGAUAACUUCGGGAAACCGGAGCUAAUACCGGAUGAUAUUUUGAACCGCAUGGUUCAAAAGUGAAAGACGGUCUUGCUGUCACUUAUAGAUGGAUCCGCGCUGCAUUAGCUAGUUGGUAAGGUAACGGCUUACCAAGGCAACGAUGCAUAGCCGACCUGAGAGGGGGAUCGGCCACACUGGAACUGAGACACGGGCCAGACUCCUACGGGAGGCAGCAGUAGGGAAUCUUCCGCAAUGGGCGAAAGCCUGACGGAGCAACGCCGCGUGAGUGAUGAAGGUCUUCGGAUCGUAAAACUCUGUUAUUAGGGAAGAACAUAUGUGUAAGUAACUGUGCACAUCUUGACGGUACCUAAUCAGAAAGCCACGGCUAACUACGUG
rnacentral:rRNA from 1 species